rfam:Erinaceus europaeus unplaced genomic scaffold scaffold00042, whole genome shotgun sequence
UCCCACAGCUACUGGUCUGCAGCUGUUCUUAUGGUAGCAGUUGUGGCAUUCCUCUGUGGAAAAUAAACUGUUACACAAUUGAAAUGCCUCUUUCUCUUCUUUUUUUUUUCCCUCCAGGGUUAUUGCUGGACUCAGUGCCUGCACCAUGA